GGGAAUAUAGCUUAGUGGUAGAGUGCUUGCCUAGUAUGCAUGAAACCCUGGGUUCAAGCCCCAGUACAUCAG
rfam:Fukomys damarensis contig152201, whole genome shotgun sequence.